AGAGUUUGAUCCUGGCUCAGAAUCAACGCUGGCGGCGUGCCUAACACAUGCAAGUCGAACGAGAAAGUCCCCGCAAGGGGAUGAGUACAGUGGCGACCGGGUGAGUAACACGUGACUAACCUGCCCUGAAGCGUGGAAUAACCUCGGGAAACCGGGGCUAAUACCGCAUAACGUCGCGAGGUGGAAUUCCUCGUGACCAAAGGAGCAAUCCACUUUUGGAGGGGGUCGCGGCUGAUUAGCUAGUUGGCGGGGUAACGGCCCACCAAGGCGAUGAUCAGUAUCCGGCCUGAGAGGGCGCACGGACACACUGGAACUGAAACACGGUCCAGACUCCUACGGGAGGCAGCAGUGGGGAAUUUUGCGCAAUGGGGGAAACCCUGACGCAGCAACGCCGCGUGGAGGAUGAAGGUCCUUGGAUUGUAAACUCCUUUCGACCGGGACGAUGAUGACGGUACCGGAUGAAGAAGCACCGGCUAACUCUGUGCCAGCAGCCGCGGUAAUACAGAGGGUGCGAGCGUUGUUCGGAAUUAUUGGGCGUAAAGGGCGCGUAGGCGGUGUGGCAAGUUCCUCGUGAAAUCUAUGGGCUCAACCCAUAGUCUGCGGGGAAAACUGCCAUGCUCGAGUGUGGGAGAGGUGCGUGGAAUUCCCGGUGUAGCGGUGAAAUGCGUAGAGAUCGGGAGGAACACCUGCGGCGAAAGCGGCGCACUGGACCACUACUGACGCUGAGGCGCGAAAGCUGGGGGAGCAAACAGGAUUAGAUACCCUGGUAGUCCCAGCCCUAAACGAUGAUUGCUUGGUGUGACCGGUACCCAAUCCGGCCGUGCCGUAGCUAACGCGAUAAGCAAUCCGCCUGGGGAGUACGGUCGCAAGGCUGAAACUCAACGGAAUUGACGGGGGCCCGCACAAGCGGUGGAGCAUGUGGUUCAAUUCGACGACGCGAAGAACCUUACCUGGGCUCGAAAUGUAGUGGACCGGGGUAGAAAUAUCCCUUUCUCGCAAGAGACUGCUAUAUAGGUGCUGCAUGGCUGUCGUCAGCUCGUGUCGUGAGAUGUUGGGUUAAGUCCCGCAACGAGCGCAACCCUUAUUGUCAGUUGCUAACGCGUUAUGGCGAGCACUCUGGCGAAACCGCCUCGGAUAACGGGGAGGAAGGUGGGGAUGACGUCAAGUCCUCAUGGCCUUUAUGUCCAGGGCUACACACGUGCUACAAUGGUUGGUACAAACCGCUGCAAACCCGCGAGGGGGAGCCAAUCGGAAAAAGCCAACCCCAGUACGGAUUGCAGUCUGCAACUCGACUGCAUGAAGCUGGAAUCGCUAGUAAUCGCGGAUCAGAACGCCGCGGUGAAUACGUUCCCGGGCCUUGUACACACCGCCCGUCACAUCACGAAAGUGGGUCGUACUAGAAGUCGGUGCGCUGACCGCAAGGAGGCAGCCGCCCAAGGUAUGAUUCAUGAUUGGGGUGAAGUCGUAACAAGGUA
rnacentral:rRNA from 1 species